rnacentral:rRNA from 1 species
UGCGUAGGCUGUGCGGAAAGUUGGGCGUGAAAUACCUCAGCUUAACUGAGGAACUGCGUUCAAAACUACCGUGCUCGAGGGAGACAGAGGUAAGCGGAACUGAGGGUGGAGCGGUGAAAUGCGUUGAUAUCCUCAGGAACACCGGUGGCGAAAGCGGCUUACUGGGUCUCUUCUGACGCUGAUGCACGAAAGCUAAGGGGUAGCAAACGG